AAAUAAGAAGCAAAUAUUGCAUUUAGUUUCGACCUAAAAGUCAGGUAGACAAAUACCCUUAUUUU
rnacentral:tRNA from 1 species